rnacentral:rRNA from 2 species
UGAACGACUCUCGGCAACGGAUAUCUCGGCUAUCGCAUCGAUGAAGAACGUAGCGAAAUGCGAUACUUGGUGUGAAUUGCAGAAUCCCGUGAACCAUCGAGUCUUUGAACGCAAGUUGCGCCCGAAGCCUCUAGGCUGAGGGCACGUCUGCCUGGGCGUCACGCA